UACCUACCUUCACUGGAUACACACACACAAAAAAAAUAGUUGAGAGAAAAACAAAGUGAGAGGAAAGAUCAAUAUUUUUAUUCUCUCUCCUGAUGCCAGAGAAGGCCAUCUAUGUUUGAAAUGGGGUCCACCUAUGGUUAUUUACCACUUUGUUUCCCUUGGACUGAUGAUAGAAGGAGCCAGAAGCAUAUUGCAAUCUUAAAUAUAUGCAGUGGCAUCCUUUCUUGGGAACCAAUUUUUUUGACAGCUAUUUAAAUAUUUGGAUAAUAUAUGAAUGAAAAUGAAUCAAUCAAAAAAUUCUUAUCAACCCGCACGGUGUAAGGCAACAGUGCCCCUAUGUGCAUCCCUCUUCCAAAUAACUAUUAAUUCUAGGUUCUCUGUGUUGGUUCCAGGCUUCUGUGCUCUUAUCUAGAGAAAAAUAUUACCUCUGAGGUUUUAGGUCAUCUGUUAAAUUGCCCAAGCUCAACCUGCAUCUUUUAUACAAAUAAUUUAAUAAGCUUAACUUUAACCGUCCAUUAGAUAUUCACUCACGUCCUUUCCUGAAACACAGAGGAUCAUCAUUUAAGCAUGCCAUGUUGUAAUAUUAGGAAGACCAGGUAUAAUCUUUGGGUUCAAUAUAUUAAACAAUGAACCAGAUUCUCUCCAGUGCCUUAGUCACUUCCUAGUAAUAGGUAAAAGAGUGCAUUAACUCCCUCAGGCCACUAGGGAAUCCUUUAGUGCAUCAGAGCUCCACACUGUACAUCAGAAUGACUAAGGCACUGUGAGGAAGAAAGUCCAUUAAGUUUUGUGGCUCACCCUCAUCCAGCUGUAGCCCUUUAAUACCUUAUUACAGAAUGACUUUUGGACUUGAAAUUUGAACAGAAUCAGGGACUCAGAAGGGAGCUUCCUCAUUUCCAAUAAGCUCCACUAAGUGCAUGGAUAUUACUUUCUCCCUCUUGUUUGGUGCACUUCUUACAGUGAAUAAUUUCCCAUUUUAUUGAAGCAAUAAGAUGUUCUGUUGUGAGCAGUGCUGGAUGAUGAUUCCAUUUCCUUGGUGCUGAAGCUACUCUUACGUUCUUGCCUUAUGAAUCACAGUGCAUUCAAGGCAUGCAAUAAUAAUCCCCUUCCAAGGAGCAGCCUGUACACUCUAGGGGGUAAUUAUGAAAUUGUCCUAUAUAAUUUUUCCCCAAAGAAAUAGAGGAAACAGGAGAAAUAAAAGCAUUAUGUAUACUGUUUAAAAAACAUCUUGAUACCUCUAAACAUGGGCACACAUCCAUAAUAUGCUCUUAUUGUGCACCUUUAAAUAUGUAUGCCUUUCUCCAUUAACUGACUGUGGUUUAAUAUUUUUAACAGUGCUCUUUGUAAAGAUGAUGUGGUUUGUGAGUCAAAUUUCAUGCUGAGUUUCAUAUACUCAGAAUUCUAAGCUUCUGGUGGUGUCACUUGAGAUUUUUUAUGAGAUAGUGAAUUACAUGAAAUUCUAGUAAUACCAGUCCCCACACCAAAUCAUUGCAAUAAGCACAUACCCAAGCAAUUUGCACAGACCCUGUUUAGAGCAUUGCAUCUUAUUGAGCUCAAUUGACAGUCUCAGGAGUUUGGGAUGCUACCAACAGGGCAUUUUGGAUUUCAUUUAUAUGAAACAAAAGGCAAUCUGGAAAUAGCUAAAUUUAUUUUAAGGAUUUUAUUCACUGAUGUCCCGUCAAAUGAAUUGCUUCAAAUCCCUAUAGCUACAGCUCAACUUCUGCACUUGCUACUCAGUAUUAAUAAGGUGGCAUGCUUGAUUCUUAUUGUUUUUAAAAAUGAGAAAAUUGGAGAGAGAAUACCAUUAUGUCAACUGUAUGGGACUCUGAAUCUUAAAGAUGUAGAUGAAUAUAAUCUUCUUUAGAAUUUAUAUACACCCAUAGAUAUGUAUUUAUAUAUGCAUACAUUUUGUACAAAUUUACAAUGGACUUUUUGUAUUCUCUUUUCUGUCGUUACAAGAAUGAGAUGGAAACCAAAUUGUUGUUCCAUCCUCUUAUCCAGAGAGGAUACUGAGAAGUCAGGUAUAUGCAUGUACGUAUUUCUCUGGGGUUAAAUCCGAAUGACUUUCUCUUUAUUUAAUGAAAGGGGAGAGUCUUGUUUGGCUCGGGGAGUUGGUAAUUAGAUAAGCUUCCUUUCCUAGUUAGUAACUCAAAUGUAGCAAUGAUAAUGAACUUGUGACCAUGCCUAUGUGGUCUAAAUAUCUAGAUGGAAAGCAAAAAUAUCUAGAGGAGCUUUAGAGCUAUCUAGACCACAAGCCUGGAUUGUGGCUUGAUUUUUUUUUUUUAUUUUCAGCCUAUAUGUUGUGUGGAAAUACAAUUUAUAUCUGCAUAGCUAAAGGUAAAGUGAAAAUAUGACCAUUAUCUGUUUAGUUUGGUAUGUAGUUUUUGGAAAAUAUGGAUAAAUUAGCUUUUUAAAAAACAUUUUGGCAUCUGACUUUUCCACCAUUUCUAUCUAUAUCAAUUGAAUUAAUUAGAUAAUGGUUAAAAUUCCAUUUUUUCCAUUAAAUGCUUUUCUGUGGGUGACAGUUGUGGAAGUUAAAGGUUAAAUUAGAACCAGAAACUUUAAUCUAGUCUGGUCAGGCUCCUCAGGUCCAUUCCCCUGUGAAUCUGGACUUUAAAUCUGAAUUUGAAAAACCACUCUUCUGGGCCAUGCUUCUUUUGAAAUUAGUGAUUGUGGCUCACAGAUGUUUUAGUUCAUAUUAGAAUGAACUGACCUAUCUAUAGAGGGGUAUUUAAUCAUGAAUUGAACAUCAGUCUGAUUUGGUUUCUGAUUUACUUGAUAACAUUUGAGAAACAGCUUUGAUGACUUGACAUCAAUACUUAUUAAUGUCACCAACCUAGUAAUACAAUUGGUGCCAUGUAGGAAUGCUUAGCUAAGAAUAAGAAUUUAAUUAACUUUAAUUGAGGACAAUGUCUUAUCAAGGUAGUUCUACCUGUUUGAAGCAGGGAUACUUGUGAUCUCAUUGGGUUGUUUUCAUAGGGAGAUUAACAACAAUAAUGACAAAAGCAACAGAAAAACUGAUUUUUGAACUCAAAUAUAUCCAACAGACAGAAUAAAACAGAUAUUAGAAUUCAUGGAAAAUUUGUUUUGCUUUUCUAUCAAUAAAAGAGUUUUCUUGUUUAAUUGGCUUUUUGGACACUAUUUCCUUAUUAGUUUAUAUAAUAUAAUAAGAUUAUAAAACUACUCUACCGUCCUCAGAGGCUCAAAGAAAUUAGUUUUUAUUUUUAAUUAUUUCUCAUCUGAACUUCUUCAAAACCAACUACAUCAAAAAAUGGAAGUUUAUAAAUUUUAGUAUCACCCAAUAAACUGAGUCCUGUCCAAUAAUUUAGCAGUCCUUUUAGGCAGAUGUUCAGGCUCUGUGGUCAUAUACUUAGUCACUCAGAUUUCCUCUUUUUCUGCCUUCUCUAAUAUAAUCAAGUAUAUGGGGAAAGGAUAUGAUUGACAUGAUUUUGUGGUGGUUAGGGAAAUGGGAAGCCUCACAUUCAUGUAAAUUCUUUGGGUCCUGCUGAACUCUGCUGCAAGUAGUUGAUUAGAAGUGCUCUCCAGUCUGAGAUGCUAUUGUCGUUUCUGGCUUUUGUGCUGACAUUCACCACUGCAGUCUUAAUGCCCGCCCCCCCCAAUCCCUUCCCCCCAGUCUCAAAUCAUCUCCCACAGGAGUAUGUAUAUCCUGCCAUCCUUAGGUCCAGCAGGACUCUCACACUUUGUUUUCCUGCAGAUAUAGGAACUUCUGGAUAUCCUUCAUGCCAUUAACCUACUACUGAGAAGCAUGGCAACACCUGCCACUGCCAACUCAGUUCAGCUGGUCCUGCUCCAUGUCAGAUGGUAUUAUGAAUUAGCCCUUACAGUUCCACUCUGGUACUUUCCAGAGGGGUGGGGUUGCCAUUAAGCCCGAAUCCUUGGGCUUCUCAAAAAAUAUUUACAUGUUUAUGAAGCACCAUCUCCUCUUUUUGUCUAUGGAAGAGAGAAGCAUAAAAGCUUUCACGGCUGCCUGUCUCACUCUUCUGUCUCAUUUUUUUCUCAGAAUUACCCCAGACUACAAGAAGCAGAUUUUCCUCUUAAUACCCCCUUUUAUCUACCUGAGAUUCCUUCUACUAUAGGUGACACCCACUUCUGCAAUGGGCUUUGUCUCUUUCCUGACUUCAGCCUAAUGACUAGCCUUUAAUGGCAAUUAGGGUGUAGGAGACAGAGAGAAGCUUAUUGAUAAGGGAUCCUAAAUUGGGAGAUAUUUGAAACAUACAAUGCUACCAUAGUAAACCUUUGCAUUCCUGAAAGGACAUUAACUCAUGAUUAAGGCCCUACUCUCCCCUUUCCUAGAAGGUGAGAGCUUGAUUAUUAACCUAUGCUUAUUUCUUUGUGACCUUCUACCCAAUCCCUCCACGUUUGGCUAGAAAAAUCUCCAUAUGGAUUGAAUCCUUUACUUUGUAUCACUAUUCGUUCUCCAAGAGGGCACAGCCUCUUCCCAAUACUGGUCCAUUACGUCACUCUAUCUCCAACCUUAGUAGCUGCAGAUUGCAUGCUAGAAAUGUUUUCCUUGAGCCAGGAAAACUUCUAGUGGAUGUUGAAUUCUGGAGUACAGAUGAAUAGCUUUCUUUACCAAAAGGUGGCAGGAAGUAUGGAUUGGUGCCACAAUGUAAUCUCUAACUAUGGUCUACUUCAAUCCCAGGAGGUAAAUAUUUUUCCACCUCAGUUUUUUGGUUCAAGAGAGGGGAUGGGUAUUUAUUCAGCUAGGUCUCACAAGAGGAGGUCUGACAAUGGACCUACUCAUGGGCCUUUCUGGGUUGACUUCAUUAAUUAAAUACUAGGUGGGUAUUGUCUUUCUUUUUAGUUGUUGAAGUCCAAUCUCUCUUUCCAAUAAUGCCUCUCUAAAUAUGACUCAGUCUGAAUUGAUGCUGUUAGUAUUGGGCAUUCCUCUCUGAAAAGUUGGUUCUACUUCUCAAAAAACUUUACAGACCAAGAAGGGGCUCUAGUGAUAGGUUUUCUUAUCCCCUCUUUUCUACUUUAUGCUGGCCAUUCUCUACCUGCAUCUACAAAUUUUCUCUCUCCCUAGGUCAUGGCUCUGACUUAGGAUUUUUAAUUUUAGCCUAAACAUUUAUAGUGACUCUUUGGUAAAAAAAAAAAAAAAAAAA
rnacentral:lncRNA from 1 species